UACGUAGGCAGCGAGCGUUGUUCGGAGUUACUGGGCGUAAAGGGUGUGUAGGCGGUUGUUUAAGUUUGGUGUGAAAUCUCCCGGCUCAACUGGGAGGGUGCGCCGAAUACUGAAUGACUUCGAGUGCGGGAGAGGAAAGUGGAAUUCCUGGUGUAGCGGUGAAAUGCGUAGAUAUCUGGAGGAAUACCGGUGGCGAAGGCGGCAUCCUGGACCGACAUUGACGCUGAACGGCGAAAGCUAGGGGAGCAAACGGG
rnacentral:rRNA from 1 species